rnacentral:misc_RNA from 1 species
CAUCAAUGCUCUUUGCCCAAGCCGUCUUCACAUCGAUAAAAGGUAACACUACCGUCUUUGGACAUACGUAAAGCAUAAUACAAACACCUUAAUCAUGAAAGAGUAGUGUGUGCACACACAAAUCACACCAGAAAACAUGAUUGCAAGCUCAUAUCUCAACAAUGAUUUUCCCGGUAGCAUGACCAUCAAUGCUUUUUGCCCAAG